rnacentral:rRNA from 1 species
UACAGAGGUCCCAAGCGUUGUUCGGAUUCACUGGGCGUAAAGGGUGCGCAGGCGGCCAAGUGUGUGAGGCGUGAAAGCCCGGGGCUUAACUCCGGAAUUGCACCUCAAACUACAUGGCUAGAGCAUUGGAGAGGGUAGCAGAAUUCACGGUGUAGCAGUGAAAUGCGUAGAUAUCGUGAGGAAUACCAGAGGCGAAGGCGGCUACCUGGACAAUUGCUGACGCUCAGGCACGAAAGCGUGGGGAGCAAAAGGG